rnacentral:rRNA from 1 species
GAUGAACGCUAGCUUCAGGCUUAACACAUGCAAGUCGAGGGGUAACGAGAGGAAAGCUUGCUUUCCUUGUCGACGACCGGCGCACGGGUGAGUAACGCGUAUCCAACCUGCCCCCAACUAGGGAAUAAACUUACGAAAGUAAGACUAAUACCCUAUAAUUUCCUCAGAUGUCAUCUGAAGAGGAAUAAAGAUUUACAGGUUGUGGAUGGGGAUGCGUCUGAUUAGCUUGUUGGCGGGGUAACGGCCCACCAAGGCAACGAUCAGUAGGGGUUCUGAGAGGAAGGUCCCCCACAUUGGAACUGAGACACGGUCCAAACUCCUACGGGAGGCAGCAGUGAGGAAUAUUGGUCAAUGGGCGGAAGCCUGAACCAGCCAAGUAGCGUGCAGGAUGACGGCCCUAUGGGUUGUAAACUGCUUUUAUACAGGAAUAAAGUUAGCCACGUGUGGUUAUUUGUAGGUACUGUAUGAAUAAGGACCGGCUAAUUCCGUGCCAGCCGCCGCUGUAACAC